GAUGAACGCUGGCGGCGUGCCUAAUACAUGCAAGUCGAGCGAACAGAUGAGGAGCUUGCUCCUCUGACGUUAGCGGCGGACGGGUGAGUAACACGUGGAUAACCUACCUAUAAGACUGGGAUAACUUCGGGAAACCGGAGCUAAUACCGGAUAAUAUAUUGAACCGCAUGGUUCAAUAGUGAAAGACGGUUUUGCUGUCACUUAUAGAUGGAUCCGCGCCGCAUUAGCUAGUUGGUAAGGUAACCGCUUACCAAGGCGACGAUGCGUAGCCGACCUGAGAGGGUGAUCGGCCACACUGGAACUGAGACACGGUCCAGACUCCUACGGGAGGCAGCAGUAGGGAAUCUUCCGCAAUGGGCGAAAGCCUGACGGAGCAACGCCGCGUGAGUGAUGAAGGUCUUCGGAUCGUAAAACUCUGUUAUUAGGGAAGAACAAAUGUGUAAGUAACUAUGCACGUCUUGACGGUACCUAAUCAGAAAGCCACGGCUAACUACGUG
rnacentral:rRNA from 1 species